CCCCGCGCGUCUCCCUCCUCCUCCCGUCCCUCGCUCGCUUGGCUCACUGUCGGCGCGCUAAGGUGACGACGGCGGCUGCCGGACUCGCAGCGUUCGGCCUACUCUCGCUCUGGCCCUGAGUGCAUGUUCGCAGUGCCCAGCCGGGCCGCAGGGGGGCGCUGGCAAACUGCUGUUUGCGACCGAGAAGCGUGGUGGGUGGAGUCACGUCACGCGGCCUGUGAGCGGGAGGAAGGGCAGCUGCGAUGGAGGGGCCUUCUGGGAAACGUCCUUCCUGCCCCGCCUUUCGCCCACGCUGCGGAUGGUGCGCCUGCGCAGUGCGUGGACUUUGGCCUCAGCGCUCUUUUGGCAGUUUUACAGGCUGCGUCGUGGAGGACAAUGAAAGAGGCUUUAAGGUGACUGGACAGGAAGGAUUUUGCUCAGGGUUCAAACACAAUUUAAAUUCUAAGACUGCUUCUUCAUUUCAGUUUCUAUUUACUCUUUUUAAAAGGUUACAAAUGGAAUUGGGUCCUCCGUUGGCUUCUACACUGGACUUUGACUCAGGACUGGCUAAUAAGAAUGUAGUACCCCACUAG
rnacentral:lncRNA from 1 species